GCAGCUCUCUUUGCCUAUUGUCUUAGGUCAAGUGUAGUAUCUGUUCUUUUCAGUUUAAUCUCUGAAAGUUCCCGUUCAAGGAAUACUUUUAUUAUUCCAAUUUUUGGUCCCCGCGACUUGGCCUCUGUGCUUGCAUAUGUCUUGUUGCACAGUGUCAUUGGGCUUACACUACCCGCGGUCAACGGGAACUCCCU
rnacentral:snRNA from 1 species